rnacentral:lncRNA from 1 species
GUCCCCGUCGAGGUAGUGAUCGUGCUCCGGUUAAACGGGACGGAGGUGGUCCCGUCGGGAACGACGCCGUAUUCGAGAGACGAAGUCGAGACCUGAAAGUGAAAAUCGAAAAUCAGUUAAAAAAGUUUCUGACUAUUUCGAGAAACUCCACGGAGGAUUUUUUUUUUUUUUUUUUUUUAACAUUUAGACCAAAAAAAAAAAAAACUCCACGGAGGAGAGGAGACUUACACUAUGGCUGAUUGAUUGAGUUGGGUAGGUGAAAGUCGAGAGCUUUGAUCUGCAGAAGUCUAUGUCGAAGCAGUGGUCGUUGUUAGUUACAGGAAGAGGCUCUGUUUUUGUCUGAACCGGUACGAGGCUGUCUGCUCCGAACGUGUUUGGGUACUCGAAGUCAAUGAGUCGAUCGAAGUCAGAGAACAUAAACUCAGAAGACUUCAGUUCAGUUACAGUUUCGAUUUUUGCCGGUUCGUUGAAGUCGUUAGGGAGCAGCCACGGGCACAAACCGAGCUCGUCGGCGUUUCCGAUCACCGGAACGGCGGUUAAGUCGACGGUGGUGGAAUCGCCGAGGACUCCAAACGUGGAAGGUGAGAUUUUCGCGACGGCUGAGUCGAAGAAAGACUCGACGGGGACUCGUUCAUGGCGGCUAGCGAGAGGAUUAGCCGAGUGGAUGUCGGAGUCGCAGGUGACGCAGAGUGAGGCGGCGUCGGCUUUGCAGGUGACGGCGGCGGGAGCUUGUUCGCAGACUUCACAGAGGUACACGCGCUCGUGACGCGUGAAGGAGUGGAUGCUUGUGAGUGACGGCGGCGGGAGCUUGUUCGCAGACUUCACAGAGGUACACGCGCUCGUGACGCGUGAAGGAGUGGAUGCUUGUGUCGCAAGUGAUGCAUAAGAAGGCUGAGUCGAAUCGGCAGUACACGGCGGCGGAAGCUGAUUUACAAGCGUCACAGGAACGCGCCGCCGCGCCCCAGCCGCCGGAGAGUG